rnacentral:rRNA from 1 species
AUUCCAGCUCCAAUAGCGUAUAUUAAAGUUGUUGCAGUUAAAAAGCUCGUAGUUGGAUUUCUGGUGGGAGCACGGGUCGGCCUUCACGGGUUGUACUGUUGUUGCGUCCUGCCGUUUCGGAGGGAAUGGUCAUGUUAUUAGGUUAGCGUGAUCGGAAACUCUGUCGUUUACUGUGAAAAAAUUAGAGUGUUCAAAGCAGGCCUUCGCUGUGAAUACAUUAGCAUGGAAUAAUAAGAUAGGACUGUAGUGCUAUUUUGUUGGUUUGCGUACUAUGGUAAUGAUUAAUAGGGAUAGUUGGGGGUAUUCAUAUUCAAUUGUCAGAGGUGAAAUCCUUGGAUUUAUGGAAGAUGAACUACUGCGAAAGCAUUUACCAAGGAUGUUUUCAUCG